CCAACACUUUGGGAAGGUGAGGCAGGGGGAUCACUUGAACCUGAAGAGUUCAAGACCAGCCUGGGCAACACAGGGAGAUCUUAUCCCUGUCUCUACAAAAAAUAAUAAUAAUAAAAAAUAGCUAGGCAUGGUAGUGCGUGCCUGUAGCUCUAGCUACUUGGGAGGCUGAGGUGGGAGGACCCCUUGAGCCCAGGAGGUUGAAGCUGCAGUGAGCCAAGAUCAUGCUGCUGCACUCCCAACCUCAGUGACAGUUUGUCUCAAACAAACAAACAAAACAAAAAACCAGUUUAGAAUGUUGCUUACAUAUAAACAGCUUAAUGGAAAAAAAACAUGAGAUAUUAUAGUAAAUCAGACUUUUUUCCAUACCUAGGCUAAAACUAUUUUCUUAUUUUAUGUCUUUUAAUUCUAUUACUUGGAAAUGCAGCAAUUAAAAAUAAUUUGACUGGAAUAAUUUACAGUGGCUCACGCCUGUAAUCCUAACACUUUGGGAGGCUGAGGCAGGCAGAUCACCUGAGGUUGGAGGUACAAGACCAGCCUUACCAACAUGGAGAAACCCCGUCUCUACUAAUAAUACAAAAAUUAGAUGGGAGUGGUGAUGCAUGCCUGUAAUCCCAGCUACUUGGGAGGCUAGGCACAAGCCUCACUUGAACCCGGGAGGCGGAGCUUACGGUGAGCCAAGAUCGCGCCAUUGCACUUCAACCUGGGCAACAAGAGCAAAACUCCAUUCAAAAUUAAUAAUAAUAAUAAUAAUUUGACUGGAAUACCCUUUCCCUAAAUAAUGUAAACUUUACAAAGAUCAUCAACACCAAAAUCUCUAUUUUUCUGAUUUGCAGAAAUACUGAUUCUUAGUAUCAAGUGGUAUUAUUUGAAAGGCAAUAUAAAAGUUUCAAUAAAUAGGACAAAAUCUGCUCUGACCAGAGUUUGAUUACUAGCCUAAUUAAAAUGUUACUCCCCCUUCAAAAAAUGUUCAGUAUUACCAACACUAAUCUGAUUAUACCCAUGUUUUGAAAAGGGUAGUUUUCUGUAUGAGGCCACUGGCCUAUUACAGCUUUAGAGAUACUGACGUAAGAGAAUUAAGCUAUCCCUUUAUGACCUGAAUUAUGUUCAUUUUCUUUCCUCUGAAAUGGCACAUUUAUUGAUCUAAUCCCUGACUGGUACAGCCCACAUGCAAUAAGAAGUUCUUGCAGCUUGGCAAAUUAGGAAGCACCAGUGUCUCAGCAAUUAGGCUAUAAAGACAGCCUAUCUAUGAAUCGCAGCCUAUCAGAAUGUACACAGGACUACGUGUGAGACCUGAAAGUGCCAAUGAGCUCCUAAGGGUUAAAUCAGGUUAAAGCUACAGCUAUGUCUCAAUCUCCCAAAUACUUCUCUUUGGCUUUCUGAUACUUAAAUGUACAGUUCCGUGCCCGUAUCAUGUCCAAUUCUGCUUACCUUCAUGGCAACAGAAAUUACACAUCA
rnacentral:lncRNA from 1 species